rnacentral:lncRNA from 1 species
UAGGCUACAGAGUGAGAUCUUUCUCUCUCUCUCUCUCUCUCUCUAUAUAUAUAUAUAUAUGUAUAUAUAUAUAUAUAUGUAUAUAUAUAUAUACAUAUAUAUAUAUAUAAACUGAUUUUGUUUUUUAAAACAAAUUCUCAUCAUUUUGAGUGGUCCUUAGCAAUAAGAUUAUUUUCAUGUUUAAUAAGUUUAUUAUCAGGGCUGGAGAGAUGGCUUAGUGAUUAGGAACGCUGACUACUCUCCCAGAGGUCCUGAAUUCAAUUCCCAGCAAUCACGUGGUGGCUCACAACCAUCUGUUAUGGUUUUCAAAGCCAUCUUCUGGUGUGUCUGAAGAGAGCAACAGUGUACUCACAUCAAAUAAAUCUUUUUUAAAAAUGUAUUAUCACUUGUUCCGUAAUUCAUUAUAUAUCUAAUGGAAGGCUAGUGUGCAAAGUCCUGAGUUCAGUUUCUACUGGACAUGCCUGCAUGUGUGUGCACAUACAUACAACAUUCAAAAAUAAUAACAAUAAUAGUAAUAAUAAUGGUUAUAGAAUAUUUCUGAGUAAGAAUUCUAAAGAUAGAACUGGCUUACAUGAAAACAGAAACCUCAUAGGUCCCCAACCCUAAACAAAGAACUGCAGACAACUAAGGAAUUCUGAGAGUAGGAAAAAAGUCAUCUUCCCUAUUGUCUUAGGGUUUCUUUUACUGUGAUGAAACACCAUCGCUAAAGCAACUUGAGGAAGAAAGAAUUUAUUUGGCUUAUGUUUUCACAUCAGUUUCAGCAUCAAAGGAAGUCAGGACAGGAACUCAAAAUAGGGCAGGAACCUGGAGGCAGGAGCUGAUGAGGAUGGGGGGAGGUGCUCAUCAUGGCUUGCUGAGCAAGUUUAUUUAUGGAAUGCAGAAGAUAACUCCCUCCCUCAGGGCUGGCACCACCCACAGUGGGCUGAGCCCUGCAUAUCAAUGACUAAUUAAGACAAUGCCCUUCUGCUGGAUCUUAUGAAGGCAUUUCUUCAAUUGUGGUUCCUUUCUGUCAGGUAACUCUAGCAUGUUUCAAGUUGACAUAAAAUUAUCUAUUACACCUAGGGAAGAGCCAUUGGUUAUCUACUUAAUACCAAGUGGUCAGUCCAAAUACCAUAUGCAUAAGAGGCUAGAGACCAUAUAUUUGAAGGGGGAAAUGGUUCAUGAGAGGAGAGAGAAGGGGAGAAAUAAAUGAUGUACUUAUAUUUAAAUUUAAAAAUAUUUAAAAGUUAAAUCAUUGAUAAAGGUGGUACUUCAAAUACACUUAUAAAAGAUGAAUUGUGUUAGCAGUUAAGUGGAUAGUUAUUUAUAGAAAUAGAAAAAGUAGAGAUGGGUUCUUGUCCUAUACCAGAUUAGUACAUCAGACUAAAAUGAGACAACUAGGGAAAGUAAUAAGUAAACAAAUCUUGGGUUGUCAAAGCUAUUUUAAGCAAGACAUUGUAGACCACAAACUUAAAUUUAGAAAAUUAAAUAUAAAUUACAUUUGGGGAAAGUCAGAAUUUAUAUAAAGUAAAAUUAGAAAUUUUAGCCGGGCGUGGUGGUGCACGCCUUUAAUCCCAGCACUCGGGAGGCAGAGGCAGGUGAAUUUCUGAGUUCGAGGCCAGCCUGGUCUACAGAGUGUGUUCCAGGACAGCCAGGGCUAUACAGAGAAACCCUGUCUCGGGGGGGAAAGAAGAAGAAGAAAUUUUAUACAUAGCAGUGAGCUCUUUUUAUGCAUUAGUUAAGGAGCUCUCUAAGAAUGAGUUUAAAAAAAAAAAAAGCCUAGUGGGGCUGGAGGGAUGGCUCAGCAGUUAAAAGCAUCUGGCUGCUCUUCCUGAGGACCUGGGUUUGAUCCCCAGCACCACAUGGCAGCUCACAGCCAUCUGUAACUCUAGUCCUGGCCUGCUUUUCUUUUCUUCUGUGAGCAACGUGCAUGCACAUGGUACACAGACAUGUAGGCAAACACCCAGACACAUAAAAACAGUCAAGUUUUAAAGAAAAAAAAAUUCAAAUAGCUCUGGAUAAAUACAGUUUGGGAAAAAAAUGACAAAGUUACAUAUACUUUUAAAAACUACUGUAAUUAAGUACAAUCUGCCGUAUCUGGACAGAGAAGGUGGAAUAGAAGCAGGGUAUGAUGCCAGAAAGACCACCUUAUUCAACUUAUCUUUGAGUUUUCUUUGUUCUGAGUUUUCUUUCCAAUUGUGAUCUCCUACAGUGCUGUAAUACUAUCAAAGACACUGAUUUGAAAAAGUGCUGCUAAUAUGAAUGGGAAAUAGCACAAUGCUACCCUUAAAAGUAUAUGUCUUAGUAGUUUGAAAAGGACAGAGUGAAGUUACAGUGGUAUUGCGGGGAAAUCUGGUCUUUGUUCUUUCACCUUUGUGAAAUAAGCACAAGUUCUUAUCAUUGAAAAUAGCUUCUAGAGACUCAGGGUCUUUCACCUGGGAAAUCAUCCAUGUAUGGCAGUAAGGAUUUACUUGGGCACAUCACUGUGUCUUAAUAUCUCAUGGUCUUAGAAAUUUAUAAAAGAAAAAAAAUCUAUCAAAUUUAACUACAAAAUUGUAACGGGAAAGAAAGUAGAAAAAAGUUUAGAUAGUUGAAUUGUCAUUAGCCCUUUGAUUACUAGCCCUUCCUAUGUGUAUCUACUGGUGAGAAAUUCCUUUAAUAUAUUUGAGAAGAUAACAACUCUUACUGCAUUUGACUCAAAAGACAGUGUUUAUUAAUUAGGCUUUAGCUUGUGAUAAUUAGAAUUGUAAGUUUCUUGUUAUUUCACACUGACCAGGAAAUAGAGGGUUUCUUUGUCUUAAAAAAGAUGAGGAGGAAAGUUGUUUUUUUUUGUUGCUGUUUUUAAAAAAAAAGGAACUAUCAUAAGCUGGCUAUUUGGAAAACAUUCAGUCCAGACUUCUCCUUUGUCCUUUGUAAAAAGAGAACUAUCAACAUCAAUUUUAUAAAACAAAUCACUUCUACUGGCAUUUCUUACUACUUCAUCUAUU